rnacentral:rRNA from 1 species
CCAACGUUAAUCGGGGCAGGGUGAGUCGACCCCUAAGGCGAGGCCGAAAGGCGUAGUCGAUGGGAAACAGGUUAAUAUUCCUGUACUUGGUGUUACUGCGAAGGGGGGACGGAGAAGGCUAUGUUGGCCGGGCGACGGUUGUCCCGGUUUAAGCGUGUAGGCUGGUUUUCCAGGCAAAUCCGGAAAAUCAAGGCCGAGGCGUGAUGACGAGGCACUACGGUGCUGAAGCAACAAAUGCCCUGCUUCCAGGAAAAGCCUCUAAGCAUCAGGUAACAUCAAAUCGUACCCCAAACCGACACAGGUGGUCAGGUAGAGAAUACCAAGGCGCUUGAGAGAACUCGGGUGAAGGAACUAGGCAAAAUGGUGCCGUAACUUCGGGAGAAGGCACGCUGAUACGUAGGUGAAGCGACUUGCUCGUGGAGCUGAAAUCAGUCGAAGAUACCAGCUGGCUGCAACUGUUUAUUAAAAACACAGCACUGUGCAAACACGAAAGUGGACGUAUACGGUGUGACGCCUGCCCGGUGCCGGAAGGUUAAUUGAUGGGGUUAGCGCAAGCGAAGCUCUUGAUCGAAGCCCCGGUAAACGGCGGCCGUAACUAUAACGGUCCUAAGGUAGCGAAAUUCCUUGUCGGGUAAGUUCCGACCUGCACGAAUGGCGUAAUGAUGGCCAGGCUGUCUCCACCCGAGACUCAGUGAAAUUGAACUCGCUGUGAAGAUGCAGUGUACCCGCGGCAAGACGGAAAGACCCCGUGAACCUUUACUAUAGCUUGACACUGAACAUUGAGCCUUGAUGUGUAGGAUAGGUGGGAGGCUUUGAAGUGUGGACGCCAGUCUGCAUGGAGCCGACCUUGAAAUACCACCCUUUAAUGUUUGAUGUUCUAACGUGGACCCGUGAUCCGGGUUGCGGACAGUGUCUGGUGGGUAGUUUGACUGGGGCGGUCUCCUCCUAAAGAGUAACGGAGGAGCACGAAGGUUGGCUAAUCCUGGUCGGACAUCAGGAGGUUAGUGCAAUGGCAUAAGCCAGCUUGACUGCGAGCGUGACGGCGCGAGCAGGUGCGAAAGCAGGUCAUAGUGAUCCGGUGGUUCUGAAUGGAAGGGCCAUCGCUCAACGGAUAAAAGGUACUCCGGGGAUAACAGGCUGAUACCGCCCAAGAGUUCAUAUCGACGGCGGUGUUUGGCACCUCGAUGUCGGCUCAUCACAUCCUGGGGCUGAAGUAGGUCCCAAGGGUAUGGCUGUUCGCCAUUUAAAGUGGUACGCGAGCUGGGUUUAGAACGUCGUGAGACAGUUCGGUCCCUAUCUGCCGUGGGCGCUGGAGAACUGAGGGGGGCUGCUCCUAGUACGAGAGGACCGGAGUGGACGCAUCACUGGUGUUCGGGUUGUCAUGCCAAUGGCACUGCCCGGUAGCUAAAUGCGGAAGAGAUAAGUGCUGAAAGCAUCUAAGCACGAAACUUGCCCCGAGAUGAGUUCUCCCUGACCCUUUAAGGGUCCUGAAGGAACGUUGAAGACGACGACGUUGAUAGGCCGGGUGUGUAAGCGCAGCGAUGCGUUGAGCUAACCGGUACUAAUGAACCGUGAGGCUUAACCUUACAACGCCGAAG